GAUGAUUGUGACUGUUAACUGUUAAGGUUAAGUUACUUAAGAAAAUUACUCCACUAAUCAACUAUGAUUAUGGAUCUCAGAUCUCUCUCUCUCUCUCUCUCUCGCACACUAAUUUCCUGAUAACAUAGGUGCCUGUCCGUGUCUCGUUCCAUCAGCACUUCACUCUCUCUCGUAAUUUUCUCUGUUUUCUCUCUCCACAUGCUGAUAUUAAGAAAACAUGCUGACCCUCUUCAAGAUUAAAAUGCCAAGUCUUUAUAGGUUCAAAUAUCCAAUACAUAUAUAUGCAGAAAUAUAGGAGAAAUGGAGGCACUGAGAGAUGCCUCUAGAGUGAUAAAGAUUGUAUGUUUAUGAGCUAUGAAGCAAAUUCAGAGAAGGGUUCUUGAAAAUCAAAAGUGAAGAUUAGGUUCUUGGGUGCAUUUUGUUUAAGUAAAUUACUCAAGAACUAAGAAAGAUUAGAUUUUUGAGAGAAUACUGUAAUUACUAGGGAUUGGUUUAAGUUUUCUUGUGAUUAUAUGAGUUGGGUAUAGUGUAGAAUUUGUUUUUUGGAAUGCGCAGAGCAAAAUUGGAACUUUUCUGGGAAGUUCAUUUCUUGGGCUAUAGUAGUUUUGGAUAGUAAAGUUGCUAUUUUGGGAAAAGCCAAGUUUCAAUCUUGUGAUUAUAUGAGUUGGGUAUAGUGUAAAAUUUGCUUUGUGUUGGAAUGAGCAGAGCAAAUUUGGAACUUUUCAAGAAUUUUCAACUGUUGGACUAUUGGAUAAUAGAGUUUCUAUUUUGAAAAAAAAAAAGUUGGAAAAUGAUAUCUUCAGGGAUGAAUUUGGUGAUGACUGUUAUUGGAUUUGCAGUAAGUACUAUGUUCAUAGUGUUUGUGUGCACUAGGCUAAUUUGUGCAAGAAUUCAAUUGAACGCGAGAAGGCGGUUUUUUGCAAAUGCUUCUAGAUCUGAUCUUAGCAUUUGUAUGUUUCCCUUGUAUAGUUGGAGCGUGGUUUACAUGGUCUCGAGCCUCUUGCUGUUGCCAAUUUCCCGACAAAGAAAUAUGGCGAUGUGUUUUUUACCUCUGCAGAAGAUGCCCAAUGUAUAGUCUGCCUUGCCGAUUAUCAAGAGCAGGACACACUACGUAUUAUGCCAUUUUGUGGGCAUUCUUUCCAUGCAACAUGUAUUGACAUAUGGUUUCAGCAGCACUCCACGUGCCCAGUUUGUCGAAUUUCUCUACGUGAGACUCCUGAGAAAAAGCGAUUUAUGCAACCUUUGUUUAGUUCAGCUAUCCGAUCUCACUAUGCGAUGGACUCCCUGAAUAUUAGUCCAAACAGCUGUCUAUCAUCCGCGCAGAGGCAUUUUCCAAGAUUACAUGACAGUCUGAGAACGGAUUCCACCACAGACGCUCACUGUCCACCUGAGGGUGGGAGGAUGGUAGUCAGAGAAAAUGGCGUCAUUUUGAACGAGGAUACUCAGAACACGAAACAUUCAGAAAACAAACAAGUAGAGAGCCCAUCAAAUGCAUAAGCUUUUAGGUCAAGACUGCAGAUUUCCAAAUUGACAGAGAUUGGAAGAUUCCACAAUGUAGGUAUCCCGAUUUUGAUUGGUAAAUGACUUACUACUCUUAAGGCCUUUUGUAAAUAUUGCAAGGCAAUGUUUCUUUUAUUAUUUUCCCCCUUAUCUUCUUCUUUUUGAAUACUUUAUCAGUAGCCAGGUUUGAUAGCAUUUUAUAGUGACGAUAAGGGGGUGAUAGGUUUGUCGGAACGAUUAAUUCAGCUCCUUGCUGCACAAUGACACUUGCAUAUGAGUGUAGUAGACAAGAUUGUAUUGACAUAUUAGGUGUGUUAUUUCACUUGAACCUGUUA